AUUGAUUUUAUGCUUGCAUAAAUGAUUUUUGGAUUCGGAGCGAGUGGCGAACUGGUGAGUAACACGUGGGUAACCUGCCCCGAAGCGGGGGAUAACAUUUGGAAACAAGUGCUAAUACCGCAUAAUUAGUUGGAACCGCAUGGUUCCAACUUGAAAGAUGGCUCUGCUAUCACUUUGGGAUGGACCCGCGCCGUAUUAGUUAGUUGGUGAGAUAAAAGCCCACCAAGACGAUGAUACGUAGCCGACCUGAGAGGGUAAUCGGCCACAUUGGGACUGAGACACGGCCCAGACUCCUACGGGAGGCAGCAGUAGGGAAUCUUCCACAAUGGACGAAAGUCUGAUGGAGCAACGCCGCGUGAGUGAUGAAGGUUUUCGGAUCGUAAAACUCUGUUGUUAAAGAAGAACAAGUGUUAGAGUAACUGUUAACACUUUGACGGUAUUUAACCAGAAAGCCACGGCUAACUACGUGCCAGCAGCCGCGGUAAUACGUAGGUGGCAAGCGUUGUCCGGAUUUAUUGGGCGUAAAGCGAGCGCAGGCGGUUUUGUAAGUCUGCUGUGAAAGCCCUCAGCUCAACUGAGGAAGUGCAGUGGAAACUACAAAACUUGAGUACAGAAGAGGAAAGUGGAACUCCAUGUGUAGCGGUGAAAUGCGUAGAUAUAUGGAAGAACACCAGUGGCGAAGGCGGCUUUCUGGUCUGUUACUGACGCUGAGGCUCGAAAGCAUGGGUAGCGAACAGGAUUAGAUACCCUGGUAGUCCAUGCCGUAAACGAUGAAUACUAGGUGUUGGAGGGUUUCCGCCCUCCAGUGCCGCAGCUAACGCAUUAAGUAUUCCGCCUGGGGAGUACGACCGCAAGGUUGAAACUCAAAGGAAUUGACGGGGGCCCGCACAAGUGGUGGAGCAUGUGGUUUAAUUCGAUGCUACGCGAAGAACCUUACCAGCUCUUGACAUCUUCUGCCAACCCAAGAGAUUGGGCGUUCCCUUCGGGGACAGAAUGACAGGUGGUGCAUGGUUGUCGUCAGCUCGUGUCGUGAGAUGUUGGGUUAAGUCCCGCAACGAGCGCAACCCUUAUUAUUAGUUGCCAGCAUUUAGUUGGGCACUCUAGUGAGACUGCCGGUGAUAAA
rnacentral:rRNA from 1 species